AUUGAACGCUGGCGGCAGGCCUAACACAUGCAAGUCGAGCGGAUGAAGGGAGCUUGCUCCUGGAUUCAGCGGCGGACGGGUGAGUAAUGCCUAGGAAUCUGCCUGGUAGUGGGGGAUAACGUCCGGAAACGGGCGCUAAUACCGCAUACGUCCUGAGGGAGAAAGUGGGGGAUCUUCGGACCUCACGCUAUCAGAUGAGCCUAGGUCGGAUUAGCUAGUUGGUGGGGUAAAGGCCUACCAAGGCGACGAUCCGUAACUGGUCUGAGAGGAUGAUCAGUCACCCUGGAACUGAGACACGGUCCAGACUCCUGCGGGAGGCAGCAGUGGGGAAUAUUGGACAAUGGGCGAAAGCCUGAUCCAGCCAUGCCGCGUGUGUGAAGAAGGUCUUCGGAUUGUAAAGCACUUUAAGUUGGGAGGAAGGGCCGUAAGUUAAUACCUUGCUGUUUUGACGUUACCAACAGAAUAAGCACCGGCUAACUUCGUG
rnacentral:rRNA from 1 species